CCAAGUUUGAUGGCGACCGGCGCACGGGUGAGUAACACGUAUCCAACCUGCCGAUGACUCGGGGAUAGCCUUUCGAAAGAAAGAUUAAUACCCGAUGGCAUAGUUCUUCCGCAUGGUAGAACUAUUAAAGGAUUUCGGUCAUCGAUGGGGAUGCGUUCCAUUAGGUUGUUGGCGGGGUAACGGCCCACCAAGCCUUCGAUGGAUAGGGGUUCUGAGAGGAAGGUCCCCCACAUUGGAACUGAGACACGGUCCAAACUCCUACGGGAGGCAGCAUG
rnacentral:rRNA from 1 species